rnacentral:rRNA from 1 species
UACGUAGGUGGCAAGCGUUAUCCGGAUUCACUGGGUUUAAAGGGUGCGUAGGUGGGCAGGUAAGUCAGUGGUGAAAUCUCCGGGCUUAACCCGGAAACUGCCGUUGAUACUAUCUGUCUUGAAUAUAGUGGAGGUGAGCGGAAUAUGUCAUGUAGCGGUGAAAUGCUUAGAUAUGACAUAGAACACCCAUUGCGAAGGCAGCUCGCUACACUAUCAUUGACACUGAGGCACGAAAGCGUGGGGAUCAAACAGG